UGGUGGAGUAAAUGAUAGUGAUGAUGAAAAUGCAUAAGUGAUAAUAAAACUUAGUUCUCAUUGCUCCUUAUAUUGCUAUCUCUCCUCCUCUUUGAUCUUUGCCUUGGAAGAACAUGGGCUAUCUUUUUUUUUCAGGUGGGUAGUAGAUACCCCUAAUUCUACUGUCGGACACUUGUCCAUUUUUUCCGCUCAAGUGGGCAUCUUUGUACCCCUAAUUCUACUUCGGACACUUGUCCAUUUUUACCUCUCGUCUCACUCUUUUUCUUUCUUUUCUGAGGUUCCGGGCACUUGCCCCUUUUUAUUUCCUCCUAUAUUUUUGCAUAACCCAUGCCUCUUCUGCAUUGAAUCUUUUUAGAGAGAGAGAAUAACAAUACUUGGGACAGUGAGUGAUAAUAUUUUUUAGCAAUUUUAAUGAUUGAUCAUGAAUGCUGUGGUAGAUGUGUGCAAGUGAAUAUCUUUAAUUUAACCACAUGAAAAGCUUCUAAGGGUCAACACAGCUCGAUCAAACUCAAUGUAAAUAUAGUAAAAGAUGUUAUAGCAAGUAUGGCUGUGGUAGGUAGUUUUGUUAUGCUAGGAACUCAUCAUGUGAUUUGUAAGUUUUCAAAAUAAAUCUCUAGAACUUAGUGUAGUAGGAACAAGAUAAACAGUAGCUCAACUUUACAUCAUGCCUUUCUCUUACCUAGACUUUAGUUUUAUGCUUCCCAAAGAUAGUAAUUUUAGUUUUAGUAAUUCCUGGAAGAACUCUAAUAUAAAAGCUAGGUACUUGUAAGUAAGCAAACAGAGCAACUGUUCAUCAUUUCCAUCAUGCAUCUUUUUGGUCUUUUUAUUUUUUUUCUAGAGAUUAAACUUAGCAGAAAAAUAAAGCACACUUAUCUACACACUCUUUUUAUUUUGUUUUCAUGUUUAUAAAGUGCAGU
rnacentral:lncRNA from 1 species